rnacentral:rRNA from 1 species
CCUACGGGUGGCAGCAGUGAGGAAUAUUGGUCAAUGGCCGCAAGUCUGAACCAGCCAAGCCGCGUGCGGGAUGACGGCCCUAUGAGUUGUAAACCUCUUUUGUCAGGGAGCAAAGCGCGACACGUGUGUCGGUUUGCGAGUAUCUGACGAAUAAGGAUCGGCUAACUCCGUGCCAGCAGCCGCGGUAAUACGGAGGAUUCGAGCGUUAUCCGGAUUUAUUGGGUUUAAAGGGUGCGUAGGCGGUAUGUAAAGUUGGCGGUAAAAUGUCGGGGCUCAACCCCGUCGUGCCCUUGAAACCGGCGUUCUUGAGUGAGCGAGAGGUAGGCGGAAUGUGUGGUGUAGCGGUGAAAUGCAUAGAUAUCACGCAGAACUCCGAUUGCGAAGGCAGCAUACCGGCGCUCAACUGACGCUGAGGCACGAAAGCGUGGGUAGCGAACAGGAUUAGAUACCCUUGUAGUC